rnacentral:rRNA from 1 species
GUUGAACGCUGGCGGCAUGCUUUACACAUGCAAGUCGAACGGUAACAGGCCUUCGGGUGCUGACGAGUGGCGAACGGGUGAGUAAUGCAUCGGAACGUACCCAGAGGUGGGGGAUAACGCAGCGAAAGCUGUGCUAAUACCGCAUGUGAUCUGAGGAUGAAAGCGGGGGACCGAGCAGCAAUGUUUGGCCUCGCGCCUUUGGAGCGGCCGAUGUCGGAUUAGCUAGUUGGUGGGGUAAAGGCCUACCAAGGCGACGAUCCGUAGCUGGUCUGAGAGGACGACCAGCCACACUGGGACUGAGACACGGCCCAGACUCCUACGGGAGGCAGCAGUGGGGAAUUUUGGACAAUGGGCGCAAGCCUGAUCCAGCAAUGCCGCGUGCGGGAAGAAGGCCUUCGGGUUGUAAACCGCUUUUGGCAGGAACGAAACGGUGUCCGCUAAUACCGGGCGCUAAUGACGGUACCUGCAGAAUAAGCACCGGCUAACUACGUG